UUAACCGAAUAGGGGAGCCGGAGGGAAACCGAGUCUUAAUUGGGCGUUAAGUUGCAGGGUAUAGACCCGAAACCCGGUGAUCUAGCCAUGGGCAGGUUGAAGGUUGGGUAACACUAACUGGAGGACCGAACCGACUAAUGUUGAAAAAUUAGCGGAUGACCUGUGGCUGGGGGUGAAAGGCCAAUCAAACCGGGAGAUAGCUGGUUCUCCCCGAAAGCUAUUUAGGUAGCGCCUCGUGAAUUCAUCUCCGGGGGUAGAGCACUGUUUCGGCUAGGGGGCCAUCCCGGCUUACCAACCCGAUGCAAACUGCGAAUACCGGAGAAUGUUAUCACGGGAGACACACGGCGGGUGCUAACGUCCGUCGUGAAGAGGGAAACAACCCAGACCGCCAGCUAAGGUCCCAAAGUCAUGGUUAAGUGGGAAACGAUGUGGGAAGGCCCAGACAGCCAGGAUGUUGGCUUAGAAGCAGCCAUCAUUUAAAGAAAGCGUAAUAGCUCACUGGUCGAGUCGGCCUGCGCGGAAGAUGUAACGGGGCUAAACCAU
rnacentral:rRNA from 2 species